GGUCAAUGAUGAAAAAUAGCCAAAUCUGAGCACCAGUAGAUCAGUUGAUCUAAUUGGUGAAUGAUUGGUGUACAGACCAGAGA
rnacentral:snoRNA from 13 species